UUUAUUAUAAGUAUAAUCUGCUCCAUGUAAUAUAAAUAGCCGCNGAAUAUUAACUGUGCUAAGGUNGCAUAAUCAUUUACCUUUUAAUUAAAGGUCUGUAUGAAUGAUUAUACAUUUAAAUUUCUUUUUUAUUAAAUUUCAUUAAAUUUGAAUUAAGUAUAAAAAUGUACUUAUGUGAAAAAAAGACGAUAAGACCCUAUUGAACUUCACUUAUGUUUAGCUGGGGAAGCUAAUUAAAUACAAUUUUAAUUAAAAAAUUUAGAAAAAAUUCUAAUAAUGAUUAAUUUAAUAAGUUACCAUAGGGAUAACAGCGUAAUAUAAUUUUAAAGCUCAUAUUAAAAAUUAAGCUUACGACCUCGAUGUUGAAUUAGAAUUCCUUUAAGACGCAAUAGUUUUAAAAGGGGGUCUGUUCGACCCUAAAAAAUCUACA
rnacentral:rRNA from 1 species